GCGCCAGGAGGCCGCGGGGCCAGGCCUGCGCCCUGCUCGGGACCCGCGGGGCUUUUCUUUCCGACGGGGCCCGGGGGCAGCAGCGGGACAGGGCGCCGGCAGGUAGGGGCUGGCGGAGCCCGCCCGACUCCCACACGCCUGUUGCAAGCGGGCCGCGGGCUGCAACCGCCUCCUGGCGGGGCCUCAGCUGCGCCGGAGGGAGGGCGGGCAUCUGGAGCUGGCCGCUGGCGCUCGUGUGGAGGAGGCGGGAGCGCUGCCUGGCUGCGGGAGUGCCCGUGCUCGGCGCUGUCUCCGGGAGAGGCUGACAAGAGUUCGUCUGGAGCACUGGCUGGAGGAAGAGCUGAGCCUGAAGAAGUAGUUUUGAGUUCUCACACUUUCAGAAAUAAGAUCUUUAAGAAACCCAAAACCUGUAAUAUCUGCAAACAAGUUAUUGACAGCCAAGGCAUUUUGUGCAGAGUUUUCAGGAGGAUCCCUGCAGACAAGUUAACUCAGC
rnacentral:lncRNA from 1 species